GCAUGCCGCCAGAUUCUUGCUGCCUUUUGUUUACAUUCACAAGAUGGUAAUCCUGCGCAUUUCUGUUGCAUGCCAGAUUCUUGCUGCAUUUUUGUUUAAUAGUGAGUCUAGCAAAUACAUGCUUAACUGAAUUAUGCUAAUUGAAGAUGGAAUUCGGAAUAAUGUGGUUAUUCUGUGGUUAGUUUGUGGUUAUUUCUUUCCUGUAACUUUUACUCUUAUUUUCUUUUAAUGUACCGAUGGCAGUUGAUUUGUACAAGAAAAUGGCUUUAGUUUCUCACAGUAGCUGAUGCAGAUCAGCGGAAACACAAUUUAACGGAAAUACCUCCAUAGUAUGAUUCUUACCUUAGAGCAGGUGGCACGCAGCUAUGAUUCUUCAAUUGUGGUGGGGGUCGUUGCAUGCAGGUGGGAGGAAGGCAAGCACACGAUCGGAGGAAGGCAAGCACACGAUCCUGCUGCCAGGUCAGGUUGCAAGCGGGGCGGGAUAUGCCGCUAGGCCGCUGGGCCGCCCCGCAAAAUACACCCGCGAAACUCCGUUGGGCCGACCGCGUCGUUUCUAGCGGGAUGAAGCGGUCACUCCGCAUUGUCCACCGACAGGCCGCAAAUACCGCAAAACCCGCGUAGCUCUCAGAUCUCACUGAAGCUCCCAUCUCCCCGACGGCUAGAGCCCGGGACCUCCCGCUCUCGCGGACGCCGCCUCCACACCCGGGGCCCCAACCUGCUCUUUCCUCUCCCCUCCCUCUCCGAGAACCUUCUCGGAGUUCCUGAAGCUAGGGUCAACUUCCGCGAGGCCUGCAUCCUCUCUCUGCCCUUUCCUCUCCUCCAAGCACAAAGUGCAUCUGGAGGAGUCGCUGAAGCUACAAACGGAAGUACCCAACAUCUGUCCAAGGAAUGGAUAACUUCCUAAUGACCCUAAAGAUCAACUUCCCAGGAUGAUAUCCAAUGCUCGGAAUGAAGCUCAUCCUAGCAUGCAAGGGCUCGGAAAGGGCACCUGGGGAGAACUCGCCGAUUGGGCCACAGACGCGACGAGUUGGUGAAGGAAGCAGGGGUGGGGUGGCGUUGCUGGAGCGGUGCCCUUAAAGCGCACCACCAUGAGCCACCCAUUAACGGGGUAGGCUCUGAGCCUCCGACCUGAAGGAGGCGAGAGCAGUUGUGGCCAGAGAGGAGGCGGACGACAGUAUGGCCAUGGAGGCCGCUGACAGAGGCUUGGGGAGGGGUACGGAAGCUUUGGGGAUGGAGGCACAGGCUUGGGGAGGGGUACGGAAGCUUUGGGGAUGGCGGCACGACGGCGUCGGCAGCCCCAACUCCUACAUGACAAACAGAGGGGUGGGAAUAGGGCGACGAAGGUAGGCCGGAUCUGGCUUCAGCGGUUGGAGAGGACGUCGGGGAAAGGAGAUCAGGCCACUCAUUAAGUAGAAAUCAUGGUGUUGUCAUGUUGUAGCGACUGAACAUAAAAGCAAGCUGUGUGGUAUUGAUUCAGGUUCAGGUCCAGGUCCCUCCCUCUGGUCUAAAAACUUAUAGUUACCUAAAUAUUGUAAAUGUAUGAACUGCCAAACGAAGCGGCCAUUUUCUUGUUCAAACUAA